rnacentral:rRNA from 1 species
CCUACGGGAGGCAGCAGUGAGGAAUAUUGGUCAAUGGGCGGGAGCCUGAACCAGCCAAGCCGCGUGCAGGAAGACGGCGCCAGGCGUUGUAAACUUCUUUUGUCGGGGAACAAAGGCCGCCACGUGUGGCGUUGUGAGUGUACCCGAAGAAAAAGCAUCGGCUAACUCCGUGCCAGCCGCCGCGGUAAUACGGAGGAUGCGAGCGUUAUCCGGAUUUAUGGGGUUUAAAGGGUGCGUAGGCGGUCGGGAAAGUUAGCGGGAAAAGCCCGGGGCUCAACCCCGGCGUGCCGUUGAAACUGUUGGACUAGAGACGGCGAGAAGUACGCGGAAUGCGCGGUGUAGCGGUGAAAUGCUUAGAUAUCGCGCAGAACUCCGAUUGCGAAGGCAGCGUACCGGCGCCGAACUGACGCUGAGGCACGAAAGCGUGGGUAUCGAACAGGAUUAGAUACCCGUGUAGUC